CUUUUUAGACGUGGAGAAGGGAUGGGGGUACCAUUUGAAAAGUGACCUUUCGAAAAUAAAUUAUUAGCAAUGAAUUGACUUUGCAGGUUUAGUGGAAUUACAUGUGAGAUGCUGAAUGAUGUAACUACAAGUCUUAAAGAUGUUCAGGAAGAGUUUCUAAAGCUGGUUUACGAAGAGACCAUCUUGAUUGGCCAUUCGCUGGAGAAUGAUUUGUUAGCUCUGAAGAUCUCUCAUAACUUGGUGAUUGAUACCGCAUUGUUAUACAAGCAUCCCCGAGGUGGUUCUUAUAAAACUGCUCUUCGAAUUCUUGCCAAAAAAUUUCUUUCUAGAGAGAUACAGCAGUCUGGGGCUGGACAUGACAGUAUUGAAGAUGCAAGAGCAGCUAUGGAACUGGCAUUGUUAAAGAUAAAAAAUGGACCUGAUUUUGGUGCUCCGCCAUCAUUUAUACGGACAAAGCUUCUUACUGUUUUGAGUGAAUGUGGUAAAGCAUCCUCUGUCAUUGAUGAUGUUUCCAUAGUGAAGAGGUAUGCUUCUUCAUCAUCCCAUGCAUUUCCUGUGAACUCUGAUGAUGAAGCGCUUUCAAGAGCCAUUAAGGAGGUGAAGAAUGAACGAGUACACUUUGUCUGGACCCAGUUUUCAGAGUUGAAUUCCUACUUCAAGAAGCAAGCGGAGGAUGAAGGGAAGCUAAAUGCAAAAAUUGCAGAGAUGAUAUCAUUGCUUACGUGUCAAGAGAAGUCUGUCAACAGUAAAGGCACCAAAUGCAUUAUAACAUCUGAUCUAAAGGAAAUUCUAACUAGCAUGGAUGCUAGGGUCCGAUCCCUAUACUCUUCAUUGCCAACUAAUACAAUGCUCAUAAUUUGCACUGGACAUGGGGAUACAGCAGUUGUCCUAAGGUGUGUGUUUGCUAUGUAGGUUAGAAAUUUCAUUUUCUAUGGUGUGCUUUGUCUCCUUUCAAUAUUAUUUAAAAACUGAGCUUUAGAGUUUGAAACCAUGUAAAUGAAAUGAGCCAAGCAAUUAGAAUGUUUCAGAUGGUAAUUUUUCUCAAAUUUUGAUCAUGCAUAUUGGGGUUUUUUAAUUUAAUUGUUAGAAAGAUUUUAACAUGAAGGGCAGCUUUCUUUUCCAAACUCUUGCAGUGGAUAUAACUUGGGAAUGAGAACUUUGUUCCGCAUUACUCAAUAAGUUUCAUUGUUAAGGAACACACAAGACAUUUAGUUUCUCUCAAUUAUGUAUAUUGUUUCUGGGCUUAACGCAAUAUAAACCUCUUUCUAAAUUUAGGCUAUGCUUGGGUUAUAGGAAAGUGUAUGUUGAUGUAUCCACAUCUUGUUUUUGAAUACAAGGUUGGAUGCACCUGUAAAUGAUAUCUUUAGUUGUUCAAAAUGAUGGACGUUUAUAUUUCCUGAAAUUACUUCCUCAUUUUGAAGAACCACCAUCAAUGCUUUGGCUGGUUUUGCAUCCCACAUUUAAGUUAUCAUAAUGUCUACGCGUACUGUUUUGCAAUUGAAGUUCUUGUAUUCAGUGCCUUUCAAUUACUGGAAGAAGCUUAACAAACCUGAUUACUCUAUGCCUCAUCUGAAACAAAGUUGCAUUUCACACCCCAUUUCUAAAUAUUCACAAUUAAUGCCUGAAAGUUUAUCAGAACCUGACAUCAAUGUGAACCAUAUGGAUCUGAUUAGUGCAUGCCAAAAGUGUACUGUUCUAUUUACAUCCUUGCGUAUUAAAUGAACUCUUAAUUAAUAUUCGUGUUGUUUAUCUGUUUCUUUGAACAUGGAUGAAGAUUGAGGAAAUUGCUGAGAGAGAAGAAAGAAACCCCAAUAUGCCGGGAGAAGAUUGUAAAAGUCUUGGAAGAGCUUCAGGCCCAAGCUGAAGUAGCUUUGUGUUUUGUAGGUGUGAAGAACUGAAUAUGAACUAUAUAUAUAUAUAUUUGUCUGUGUUUUUUUAUAAUUAGAAUGUCAUUAGUGUUGAUUUAAGUACUGAUGUCCCAAAGUUUUGGUGUAAAACAUUCAUUCAUUGAAUGAUAAUGAAAUGGUGUGAAUUAAGGUUAUAAAGAAAUGAAAUUGCUAGCAGAAAGUUUUAUGUUGUCAAAA
rnacentral:misc_RNA from 1 species